AUUACUCGUAGGGUAGCAUAGCUAUUAGUUUUAAAUUCUUAUACAAAUUACGUGCCCAAAUCGUUACACACCUCAUAAUGACACAUAUUAUAAUGACGACACAAACGAAUAUGGUUCGAUCAAAUAGCCUGAGACACCAGUAUAGAUGUUAUUGAUAUAAAUAUGACUUUUGUCUUACGUGAUCACACGUUUACUCUCGUCCAACCAGUUCAAUUUAUUUAGGGGCUCACAUACUCCUAUACUUACAGACAUAUGGGAGUCAGUUGACAAGAUGAAGUUAGACAGUUCUAUAAGCUCUCUCUGAUUAACCUGAGUUUAUAAUAAGAAAAAUCGA